rnacentral:lncRNA from 1 species
GAAUGACUACCCUCAUUUCCUGUGUUGGGGUCACUUCAUUUUUCCUGUCUUGGUUUCCAUAAGAGGCAGUGGACCAGAUGGAGGAGAACUGAAGGAUGAUCUAUCAACUCUCCCUGCAACAUUUGGAGGAUUUUCACUUCCUUUUAAUCAGGAGCAGGCUGUUCUCAGAGGAUCACCUUGCCUCCCACUGCCCUACUUGCUCCCAAAGCAGACAGCGAGAAUUUGAUUUUACUAUCAGAGCUAGGACUGCGGGAAAAGGGCAGCAGGUCGGAAAAAGGGGCAUACAGCAAGUGGAGAAAUAUUCAUUCAAGUAAAUUUACUAAAUCUCAGUAAGAAGAGGGAGCAUCUGUGACAUUUGAGCCAUGACACUCCCCUCCCAGCUACAUCUUAUGGAAUCACCAUGGAAGGGGCAGGCUGCCG